rnacentral:rRNA from 1 species
CACGUAGGCUGUUAUGUAAGUCAGGGGUGAAAUCCCACGGCUCAACCGUGGAAUUGCCCUUGAUACUGCAUGACUGGAAUCCGGGAGAGGGUAGUGGAAUUCCAUGUGUAGGAGUGAAAUCCGUAGAUAUCUGGAGGAACAUCAGUGGCGAAGGCGACUACCUGGACCGGUAUUGACGCUGAGGUGCGAAAGCGUGGGAGCAAACA